AUUGAACGCUGGCGGCAUGCCUUACACAUGCAAGUCGAACGGCAGCACUGGAGCAAUCCUGGUGGCGAGUGGCGAACGGGUGAGUAAUAUAUCGGAACGUGCCCAGUCGUGGGGGAUAACGCAGCGAAAGCUGUGCUAAUACCGCAUACGAUCUAUGGAUGAAAGCGGGGGAUCGCAAGACCUCGCGCGAUUGGAGCGGCCGAUAUCAGAUUAGCUAGUUGGUGAGGUAAAGGCUCACCAAGGCGACGAUCUGUAGCUGGUCUGAGAGGACGACCCGCCACACUGGAACUGAGACACGGUCCAGACUCCUACGGGAGGCAGCAGUGGGGAAUUUUGGACAAUGGGCGAAAGCCUGAUCCAGCAAUGCCGCGUGCAGGAUGAAGGCCUUCGGGUUGUAAACUGCUUUUGUACGGAACGAAACGGUGAGCUCUAAUACAGUUUGCUAAUGACGGUACCGUAAGAAUAAGCACCGGCUAACUACGUGCCAGCAGCCGCCGUAA
rnacentral:rRNA from 1 species